rnacentral:rRNA from 1 species
AUUGAACGCUGGCGGCAUGCCUUACACAUGCAAGUCGAACGGUAACAGGUCUUCGGAUGCUGACGAGUGGCGAACGGGUGAGUGAUACAUCGGAACGUGCCCGACCGUGGGGGAUAACGGAGCGAAAGCUUUGCUAAUACCGCAUACGAUCUACGGAUGAAAGCAGGGGACCGCAAGGCCUUGCGCGAACGGAGCGGCCGAUGGCAGAUUAGGUAGUUGGUGGGAUAAAAGCUUACCAAGCCGACAAUCUGUAGCUGGUCUGAGAGGACGACCAGCCACACUGGGAGUGAGACACGGCCCAGACUCCUACGGGAGGCAGCAGUGGGGAAUUUUGGACAAUGGGCGCAAGCCUGAUCCAGCAAUGCCGCGUGCAGGAUGAAGGCCUUCGGGUUGUAAACUGCUUUUGUACGGAACGAAAAGGCUCUGGUUAAUACCUGGGGCUCAUGACGGUACCGUAAGAAUAAGCAUCGGCUAACUACGUGCCAGCCGCCGCAGUAAAAC